GAUGAACGCUGGCGGCGUGCCUAAUACAUGCAAGUCGAGCGAACAGACGAGGAGCUUGCUCCUCUGACGUUAGCGGCGGACGGGUGAGUAACACGUGGAUAACCUACCUAUAAGACUGGGAUAACUUCGGGAAACCGGAGCUAAUACCGGAUAAUAUAUUGAACCGCAUGGUUCAAUAGUGAAAGACGGUUUUGCUGUCACUUAUAGAUGGAUCCGCGCCGCAUUAGCUCGUUGGUAAGGUAACGGCUUACCAAGGCAACGAUGCGUAGCCGACCUGAGAGGGUGAUCGGCCACACUGGAACUGAGACACGGUCCAGACUCCUACGGGAGGCAGCAGUAGGGAAUCUUCCGCAAUGGGCGAAAGCCUGACGGAGCAACGCCGCGUGAGUGAUGAAGGUCUUCGGAUCGUAAAACUCUGUUAUUAGGGAAGAACAAAUGUGUAAGUAACUAUGCACGUCUUGACGGUACCUAAUCAGAAAGCCACGGCUAACUACGUG
rnacentral:rRNA from 1 species